rnacentral:rRNA from 1 species
AGUGAACGCUGGCGGUAGGCCUAACACAUGCAAGUCGAACGGCAGCACAGUAAGAGCUUGCUCUUAUGGGUGGCGAGUGGCGGACGGGUGAGGAAUACAUCGGAAUCUACUUUUUCGUGGGGGAUAACGUAGGGAAACUUACGCUAAUACCGCAUACGACCUACGGGUGAAAGCAGGGGAUCUUCGGACCUUGCGCGAUUGAAUGAGCCGAUGUCGGAUUAGCUAGUUGGCGGGGUAAAGGCCCACCAAGGCGACGAUCCGUAGCUGGUCUGAGAGGAUGAUCAGCCACACUGGAACUGAGACACGGUCCAGACUCCUACGGGAGGCAGCAGUGGGGAAUAUUGGACAAUGGGCGCAAGCCUGAUCCAGCCAUACCGCGUGGGUG